rnacentral:rRNA from 1 species
AUGCACGCUGGCGGCGUGCUUAACCCAUGCAAGUCGAACGGAAAGGCCCAAGCUUGCUUGGGUACUCGAGUGGCGAACGGGUGAGUAACACGUGGGUGAUCUGCCCUGCACUUCGGGAUAAGCCUGGGAAACUGGGUCUAAUACCGGAUAGGACGAUGGUUUGGAUGCCAUUGUGGAAAGUUUUUUCGGUGUGGGAUGAGCUCGCGGCCUAUCAGCUUGUUGGUGGGGUAAUGGCCUACCAAGGCGUCGACGGGUAGCCGGCCUGAGAGGGUGUACGGCCACAUUGGGACUGAGAUACGGCCCAGACUCCUACGGGAGGCAGCAGUGGGGAAUAUUGCACAAUGGGCGCAAGCCUGAUGCAGCGACGCCGCGUGGGGGAUGACGGCCUUCGGGUUGUAAACUCCUUUCGCUAGGGACGAAGCGUUUUUGUGACGGUACCUGGAGAAGAAGCACCGGCUAACUACGUG